CCCUGUGGCUCAGUUGGUAGAGCAUGGUGUUUGCAACGCCAGGGUUGUGGGUUGGAUUCCCACAGGGG
rnacentral:tRNA from 1 species